rnacentral:rRNA from 1 species
AACGAACGCUGGCGGCACGUUUUAAGCAUGCAAGUCGAACGGCAGUGGGGGCAACCCCAUGAGAGUGGCGAACGGGUGAGUAACACGUAGGUGAUCUGCCUUUGGGUUGGGGAUAGCUUGUGGAAACACAGGGUAAUACCGAAUGAGCUGACGAGGCUUUGGCCAUGUUAGUAAAGGUGCUACGGCACCGCCUAGAGAGGAGCCUGCGGCUGAUUAGCUAGUUGGUGGGGUAAAGGCCUACCAAGGCGACGAUCAGUAGCCGGCCUGAGAGGGUGUACGGCCACACCGGAACUGAGACACGGUCCAGACUCCUACGGGAGGCAGCAGCUAAGAAUCUUCCGCAAUGGGCGAAAGCCUGACGGAGCGAUGCCGCGUGAUCGAUGAAGGUCGAGAGAUUGUAAAGAUCUUUUCCAACUGAGGAAUAAGUGGACCAAGGAAUGGGUUCAUGAUGACGUUAAGUUGGGAAUAAGCCCCGGCUAAUUACGUGCCAGCCGCCGCAGUAA